rnacentral:misc_RNA from 1 species
AACAAGGCGUACCUGCGGACCUGCGGAAGGAUCAUUACAUGGCGGAGAAGGUGGGCACCUGGCCAAAAAAAACUCCAGGUUGUCAUGCCUUCACGCUCUUCCACCCUUGUCUAUUUGUACCUUUUGUCGUUCCCUCGGCGGGUUUCGACCCGCCGGCGGUAACCAUUGAAAACCCUUUUUGCAGUUUAGCAUCCAAUUCUUCUGAUCAAAUAUCAAAUCGUUACAACUUUCAGCAACGGA